rnacentral:rRNA from 1 species
UACGGAGGGAGCUAGCGUUGUUCGGAAUUACUGGGCGUAAAGCGCGCGUAGGCGGCUUUGUAAGUUAGAGGUGAAAGCCCGGGGCUCAACCCCGGAACUGCCUUUAAGACUGCAUCGCUUGAAUCCGGGAGAGGUGAGUGGAAUUCCGAGUGUAGAGGUGAAAUUCGUAGAUAUUCGGAAGAACACCAGUGGCGAAGGCGGCUCACUGGACCGGCAUUGACGCUGAUGUGCGGAAGCGUGGGGAGCAAACAGG